rnacentral:lncRNA from 1 species
AUACCAUAUGGAACAUGUUUACUAAGUUUCAAGUUGUUUCGUCUUCAACUUCAUCAAAAACUACCUUGACCAAAAACUUUAACCUGAAACUCCCACUUUCUUUUUCUAUGUUCAGUGGACCGUGAAAUUGGGGUCAAAAGUCUAAUUUGGCUUUAAAAUUAGAAAGACCAUAUCAUAAGCAACGAGUGUACUAAGUGUCAAGUUGAUUGGACUUCAGCUUCAUCAAAAACUACCUUGACCAAAAACUUUAACCUGAAACGGGACGAACGAACGGACGAACGGAGGCAC